AUUAGGAUCAGAAUUUGGGGAACUGGCAGGUGAAGCUCCAGAUUGGAUCUUCUGCUCCCAUCGUAUUCAAGUUUGCCGCAGAAUUCAUCCUGAAGGCCCACGAGAGUGUCACGAUCUGGGCGGCUGACGCUGGCCGAAACCACAAUCCUCCCUCUGAUCUAGUCUGGGAGACACAGUCCAACUGGGGACCCGUAGGCCAGGUCCACUUUACCUUGAUCAACGCCAACGGAGAGGAAAUAAGGAUGAGCAAAGCCACUGGCGCACGUUUGGAAGAUGAUGAUGGAAAUUCCACUUCCACCGUGGGAUAGAGGAAAUGGAAUUUCGGUUUCUUGUGUGUCUUGACAUAUGAAGGGAUUGACAAUAAAGCAGACUUUGACUUUUGACAUGGUCACAUUAUAAAAAUAUUGUAUAAUGUUAGGUCUAAAUACCAUCAGACAUUUAACCACACGCUGGAAGGAAGAGGAGAAAAGAACCAGAACAGGUUUACUCGCGAGGAGAACGAUAGAGAGAGGAAACUCGGUUACAAUCUCCAUCAAUUCUGAGUUCUCCCUCCACGUGCUCCUCUAUUUAAUGUUUUGGUUUCCCUGGUUACAGAGGCGUUGCUACACUAAAGGGAGGGGAGAUUGUGUCUGUAGCAACGCUGAUUAGCAAAAGAAUGUAGUGUGGUGUGAAUUAGCACUUCAUUGUCGGCCCGUGACCCCCGCAGAGUUUGCCCAUCUGUUCUCCUCCAGUUGUUGGCCGAGUCGUCCCCGAGCGAGAUCAGAUAACUCCUGUGGAACAAUGCAACUAAACCUUGGCUAGACUUUAUCUACUUAGUAAAUUAACACGCAAUAAGAAUGAGUGACUUGUCCUAAACACUUUAACAAACAUUGAGUAAAUAUGGGAUAACUUGUAACCAUCUAUGAACCAAACCUACAGUUAACUAAAAGGAAUGAAGUUUCUUUCAACCAAAUAAGAACAUUUCGCCUAUGCAAAUAAGCUCUGCUCAUUGUUAGUGAAGGCCUCUUACAGAAACAAAAACACACAGGUAACAUAAGGACAGGAAGGAUAAAAUCCACAGGGAUCAAAAGGAAUCCCUGUCACUAAAGAGAAAAACCUAGAUGAAAGUAAAGCCAUAAACUAAUAAAUGACAAGGCUUUACUUAAAUUAUUCCAACAUUUCCCUCCUGUUUAUCACAUAUUUGCUCAAUAUUUACAUCACCAAAAACAACCACUUCUCUCGAUUUUCGGUUGUCGGAUCACAAGUAUGGCACAAAUAAGUUUACACCAAAAAAAGAUAAAUGCUGCGAUAUUAUCAUUCGGAAACACACAGAUCUGGGGAAAAGUCUGUGAACUCAAGUGCAAAAAAUGCAUCAUCAUCAUCGUUAUCAUCAACAUGCUGGCGUUCAGACAUUAGGCAUACCCGGGCCAUCUCGUCGUCCAUGGGCGAGAUUGCUGUAUUGAUAAGACGAUUAAACAGAGCACGGAGACAUGGAAUACAACAACAUCCACACAAGGUGAGUAUAGCAGUAAUUGAGGACACAAGGGCUUUAUACUUCCCAAAAGCAGUCAUCCACUUGUUGUGCUCUUUCAUCCUCGUGUUGAGGGAUUGCAAGUUUGCAAUCAUCUUCGUCAGGCUCCCAUCAGGGGCGGUGUCAUUCUGGAUGAAGGUGCAGCAUUGUUCCCUGAACAUUGCGCAGACCCUUCCUUUCCCAGACAACAACAUAACAAGAGCAUUGCGG